GAUGAAGAACGUAGCGAAAUGCGAUAAGUAAUGUGAAUUGCAGAAUUUUGUGAAUCAUCGAAUCUUUGAACGCACAUUGCGCCCCUUGGUAUUCCGGGGGGCACACCUGUUCGAGCGUCAUUUCACCACUCAAGCCUCGCUUGGUAUUGGGCAACGCGGUCCGCCGCGUGCCUCAAAUCGACCGGCUGGGUCUUCUGUCCCCUAAGCGUUGUGGAAACUAUUCGCUAAAGGGUGUUCGGGAGGCUACGCCGUAAAACAACCCCAUUUCUAAGGUUGACCUCGGAUCAGGUAGGGAUACCCGCUGAACUUAAGCAUAUCAAUGAGCGGAGGA
rnacentral:misc_RNA from 1 species